GAUUAAGUUAUUAAGGGCGCACGGUGGAUGCCUUGGCACUAGAAGCCGAUGAAGGACGUUACUAACGACGAUAUGCUUUGGGGAGCUGUAAGUAAGCUUUGAUCCAGAGAUUUCCGAAUGGGGAAACCCAGCAUGAGUUAUGUCAUGUUAUCGAUAUGUGAAUACAUAGCAUAUCAGAAGGCACACCCGGAGAACUGAAACAUCUUAGUACCCGGAGGAAGAGAAAGAAAAUUCGAUUCCCUUAGUAGCGGCGAGCGAAACGGGAAGAGCCCAAACCAACAAGCUUGCUUGUUGGGGUUGUAGGACACUCUAUACGGAGUUACAAAGGACGACAUUAGACGAAUCAUCUGGAAAGAUGAAUCAAAGAAGGUAAUAAUCCUGUAGUCGAAAAUGUUGUCUCUCUUGAGUGGAUCCUGAGUACGACGGAGCACGUGAAAUUCCGUCGGAAUCUGGGAGGACCAUCUCCUAAGGCUAAAUACUCUCUAGUGACCGAUAGUGAACCAGUACCGUGAGGGAAAGGUGAAAAGCACCCCGGAAGGGGAGUGAAAUAGAACCUGAAACCGUGUGCUUACAAGUAGUCAGAGCCCGUUAAUGGGUGAUGGCGUGCCUUUUGUAGAAUGAACCGGCGAGUUACGAUUUGAUGCAAGGUUAAGCAGUAAAUGUGGAGCCGUAGCGAAAGCGAGUCUGAAUAGGGCGUUUAGUAUUUGGUCGUAGACCCGAAACCAGGUGAUCUACCCUUGGUCAGGUUGAAGUUCAGGUAACACUGAAUGGAGGACCGAACCGACUUACGUUGAAAAGUGAGCGGAUGAACUGAGGGUAGCGGAGAAAUUCCAAUCGAACCUGGAGAUAGCUGGUUCUCUCCGAAAUAGCUUUAGGGCUAGCCUCAAGUGAUGAUUAUUGGAGGUAGAGCACUGUUUGGACGAGGGGCCCCUCUCGGGUUACCGAAUUCAGACAAACUCCGAAUGCCAAUUAAUUUAACUUGGGAGUCAGAACAUGGGUGAUAAGGUCCGUGUUCGAAAGGGAAACAGCCCAGACCACCAGCUAAGGUCCCAAAAUAUAUGUUAAGUGGAAAAGGAUGUGGCGUUGCCCAGACAACUAGGAUGUUGGCUUAGAAGCAGCCAUCAUUUAAAGAGUGCGUAAUAGCUCACUAGUCGAGUGACACUGCGCCGAAAAUGUACCGGGGCUAAACAUAUUACCGAAGCUGUGGAUUGUCCUUUGGACAAUGGUAGGAGAGCGUUCUAAGGGCGUUGAAGCAUGAUCGUAAGGACAUGUGGAGCGCUUAGAAGUGAGAAUGCCGGUGUGAGUAGCGAAAGACGGGUGAGAAUCCCGUCCACCGAUUGACUAAGGUUUCCAGAGGAAGGCUCGUCCGCUCUGGGUUAGUCGGGUCCUAAGCUGAGGCCGACAGGCGUAGGCGAUGGAUAACAGGUUGAUAUUCCUGUACCACCUAUAAUCGUUUUAAUCGAUGGGGGGACGCAGUAGGAUAGGCGAAGCGUGCGAUUGGAUUGCACGUCUAAGCAGUAAGGCUGAGUAUUAGGCAAAUCCGGUACUCGUUAAGGCUGAGCUGUGAUGGGGAGAAGACAUUGAGUCUUCGAGUCGUUGAUUUCACACUGCCGAGAAAAGCCUCUAGAUAGAAAAUAGGUGCCCGUACCGCAAACCGACACAGGUAGUCAAGAUGAGAAUUCUAAGGUGAGCGAGCGAACUCUCGUUAAGGAACUCGGCAAAAUGACCCCGUAACUUCGGGAGAAGGGG
rnacentral:rRNA from 1 species